rnacentral:rRNA from 1 species
AGAAUCAACUGGAGGGCAAGUCUGGUGCCAGCAGCCGCGGUAAUUCCAGCUCCAGUAGCGUAUAUUUAAGUUGUUGUAUUUAAAAAGCUCGUAGUUGAAAUUUGUAAGAGAGCUUUGUUGGGGGGAUGGCAUAAGUUGUUCUUCUGACAAUCUCUUACAUAUGCACGCAUAAUAGACUCCAAUGAAAUUGAAAGAUUUUAUUGGAUCAUUUAUUAUGCAUUUUACCAUAAGUAACUUAGAGUGUUUAAAGCAAGACGUUUGUCUAUUGAAUAAUAGAGUAUGGGAUAAUAAAAGAUGAGAGAGGGAAGAUGCAUUCUCUGGUAGCAAUACCAGGUCUUUCUUUUCUAAUGAUUAAUAGGGACAGUUUGGGCAAUUGAUAUUUCUACACGAGCGGUGAAAUGCGUAGACUGUAGAAAGAUCGACUAAUGCGAAAGCAUUUUGCAGAGAUGUUUUCGUUAAUCAAGAACGAAAGUUAAGGGAUCGAAGAUGAUCAGAUACCGUCGUAGUCUUAACUAUAAACAAUGUCGACAAAAGAUGGGAUUGAAAGUAUGAAUAUACUUUCUUUUCAAAAAGGUACUAAAAUUUCCAAAUUGUAGCAAUACAGUUUGGAUAAAUUUGUCUCUUCCCGAAUUUCGUAAGAAAUUAAGAGUGAUCGGACUUUGGGGGGAGUAUGGUCGCAAGGCUGAAACUUAAAGGAAUUGACGGAAGGGCACCACCAGGUGUGGAACUUGCGGUUUAAUUUGACUCAACACGGGGAAACUCACCAGGUCAGGACAUGAUAAGGAUUGACAGAUUAAAAGAUCUUUCAUGAUUUUAUGGGUGGUGGUGCAUGGCCGAUCUUAGUUCGUGGUAUGAAUUGUCGGCUUAAUUGCGUUAACGAACGAGAUAACUUCUUAUUUCGACUAUUGAUGUUCAAUCAAUGUAAGUUAAAGGCAAUAUCAGGUCUGUGAUGCCCUUAGAUGUUCUGGGCCACACGCGUGUUACAAUGGUAAAGAUCAAAGGGUUUCUUUGCAAAUCCCAGGGGGUAGAAAUAUUUCUUGGGAGAUGCAAAAAUGCUUGACAGAAAUGUCUGGCUAAUCCUUUUUCGAAUCUUUUUAACCAUAUCUGGGAUAGAUGCUUGUAAUUUUUCAUCUUCAACUUGGAAUACCUAGUAAGCGCAGUUCAACAAACUGCGUUGAUUACGUCCCUGCCCUUUGUACACACCGCCCGUCGCUCCUACCGAUUGAAUUAUCCGAUGAAUU